CCGGCCCAAAGCUGCCUUCCUCAACGUCGGCCCCUCUGGGCCCAGCUCCUGCCUCCUGCUGAUGGCCUGUGCGGGCCCGAAGCGUCCCGAAGUCGGCCUGGCCAGGCCCAGCUCCUGCCUGGCGUAGGCCCCUAGGGACGUGGCCUCUGCCCCACACUGGCCCCUGUGGGCCCGGCUCCGGCCUCAGCCUGGCCGCCUCAGGCCCAGCUCCUGCCUGUUGGCGGCCUCUCCAGACCCGGCUCUUGCCCCUCGGUCUCCUCUCCAGGCCCAGAACUGUUUCCAGUCGGCCUCUCCGGGCCCGGCUCUCCCUCGCGGCCGCGUCCAGGGGCCCAACUCCUGCCUGACGACGACCACGUUCGGCCCAGGUCCUGCCCAGCUCCUGGCAGCCUCUGUAGGCCCCAGGCUUCCCUGCGUUCAGGCCUUCCAGGCCCACCUUCGGCUUCCCGGCGGCCCGGAGAGACCCGGCUCCUGCCUGACGGCGGCCUCUCCUGGCCCAGCUGUGGACUCACGUGGGCCUCCCCGGGCCACGUUUCCGCCUGCCUCGCGGCAGUCCCGGCAGGCCUGGCUCCCGCCUGCCGAUGGCCUCUUGACGAGGCGCAACUCGUGCCUGGCCGCGGCCUCCCCAGGCCAGGCUCCUGCCUCCCGGCAGCCUCUGCGGGCCCGGCUCCUGUGUCCCGCUGGCCUCCCUAGGCCCAGCUCGUGCCUCGCCGUGGCCUCUUGAGGCCCAGCUUUUCCCUCGUGGCGGCCUCUCCAGGCCCAGAACUUCCUCAGGUCGGCCUCUUCCAGCCCAGUGGCUGCCUCCCGGCCUCCUCUCCGGGCCCAGCUCUCUGCUCGCGGCUGCGCCCGCAGGCCCAGCUCCCGCCUCCAAACAGCCUCCUUUGACUCGGCUCCUGCCCAGCUGGCGGCGGCCUUCGUAGGCCCGAAGCCUCCUCCGGUCCAGCGCUCGGGGCCCGCCUCUUGCCCCUCGGCCACCACGUUCAGCCCAGCUCCUGCCCAGCUCCUGGCAGCCUCUGUAGGCCCCAGGCUUCCCUGCGUUCAGGCCUUCCAGGCCCACGUUCGGCUUCCCGGUGGCCCGGAGAGACCCGGCUCCUGCCUGACGGCGGCCUCUCCCGGCCCAGCUGUGGACUCACGUGGGCCUCCCCGGGCCACGUUUCCGCCUGCCUCGCGGCAGCCCCAGCAGACCCGGCUCCCGCCUGCCGAGGGCCUCUUGAAGAGGCGCAUCUCGUGCCUGGCCGCGGCCUCCCCAGGCCAGGCUCCUGCCUCCCGGCAGCCUCCGCGGGCCCGGCUCCUGCGUCCCGAUGGCCUCCCUAGGCCCGGCUCAUGCCUCGCCGCGGUCUCUUGAGGCCCAGCUUUUCCCUCGUGGCGGCCUCUCCAGGCCCAGAACUUCCUCAGGUCGGCCUCCCCCGUCCCAGUGGCUGCCUCCCAGCCUCCUCUCCGGGCCCAGCUCUCUGCUCGCGGCUGCGCCCGCAGGCCCAGCUCCCGCUUCCAAACAGCCUCCUUUGACUCGGCUGCUGCCCAGCUGGCGGCGGCCUUCGUAGGCCCGAAGCCUCCUCCGGUCCAGCGCUCGGGGCCCGCCUCUUGCCCCUCGGCCUCCUCUCCAGGCCCAGAACUGUUUCCAGUCGGCCUCUCCGGGCCCGGCUCUCCCUCGGGGCCGCGUCCAGGGGCCCAACUCCUGCCUGACGACGACCACGUUCGGCCCAGCUCCUGCCCAGCUCCUGGCAGCCUCUGUAGGCCCCAGGCUUCCCUGCGUUCAGGCCUUCCAGGCCCACCUUCGGCUUCCCGGCGGCCCGGAGAGACCCGGCUCCUGCCUGGCGGUGGCCUCUCCCAGCCCAGCUGUGGCCUCACGUGGGCCUCCGCAGGCGAGGUUUCCGCCUGCCUCACCAGGCCAGGCUCCUGCCUCCCAGCAGCUUCCGCGGGCCCGGCUCCUGUGUCCCGAUGGCCUCCCUAGUCCUGGCUCGUGCCUCGCAGCCGCCUCUUGAGGCCCAGCGUUUCCCUCGUGGCGGCCUCUCCAGGCCCAGAACUUCCUCAGGUCGGCCUCCCCCGGCCCAGUGGCUGCCUCCUGGCCUCCUCUCCGGGCCCAGCUCUUUGCUCUUUGCCGCGGGCCCAUCUCCCGCCUCCCAACAGCCUCCUUUGACUCGGCUCCUGCCCAGCUGGUGGUGGCCUUCAUAGGCCCAAAGCCUCCUCCGGUCCAGCUCUCCAGGCCCUCCUGUGUCCUCCUGGUGGCCUUUCGAGGCCCAGCUCUCUUCUCACAGCCGCCUUGCUAUACCAUUUUUGUGCCUGCUUUGUUGCAGCAUCUCAAAGCCCAGCUUUUGCUUCUUGUCUGCCUUCUGAGUCCCAGCUCUUGUUUUAUGGCAGCCUCCUGAGGCCCAGCUCCUGCCUCCCAUUUGCCUCUUUUGGCCCAACUCUUUGCUCACCAUGGCCUUCCAGAUCAUGUUCCUGCCUUUUAGCAGCCACUAGAGGCCCAGCUUUGCCUCCUUUCAAGAGUCCUGCCUCACGGUGGCCUCCCAAGGGCAACUUUCUGCCUCAUGUCAGCUUCUUGUGCCCUGGUCCUGUCUCCUGGUAGACUAUGCAGGCCCUGCUCCUUCCUUACAUUGCCCGUUUUAUAAAGAUCCAGUUCCUGCCUCCUGGCUGCCUCUAUGAGCCCAAAUCCUGCCUAACAACAACCUGUUUUUGCCCAGCUCCUGCCUCCGGGCAGCCUCCUUAGGCCCAAAAUUUCCUUCAUUUGUCCUCUCCAGGCCCAGCUCCUGCCUCUCAGUGCCCUCUUUAGGCCCAGCUCCUGCCUUAAUAAAUUUGAAUAAAUUAUUAUUACGUGA
rnacentral:lncRNA from 1 species